UCAGAGGUGAGGGUCCUGCUGUGUUACCCAGGCCGGAGUGCAGUGACUACUUACAGGCACGAUCAUAGUGCACUAGAGCCUUGAACUCCCGGGCUCCAGUAUUACUCCUGCCUCAGCCUCCUGAGUAUCUGGGACUAUAGGAGUGCACCACCAUUCCUGGCAUAAUCCUCUUUUUAUGUUGAGUUGAAGAAAGUCACAAGACGUGAGACGCUUUAUGUUGCAGUUAAUGGUCUCUUCCUCCCUUUUCUCUGUUCCUGCAAAUGGACAAUUAUUCCUUCUCACAAGGUUUUUGGCUUCCCACUUCAGCAUGCCUCCAGCAGUGUUCUAAAAUUACUCUACAAUUGCCAAAGUAAGAGCAGCAGAUGCUCUAAAUCUAUUUCCAGGACACCCGUCUCAUGAUCAAGGUACAAGUUUCUUUUGCCAUCUUUUAUUUUUUUGAUGUUUCCUUUUGUUUGACAUUUUAUUUUUUGGACUUCUUAGACCUAAAUUCCAGACCUGGCCAGCACUUGUUUCAUCAAAGUUCAUUCCCCUCCCCACUGCUACCCCAGUUACAUCCAUCCUAAUCUCAAUCACUGGCUUGAUCUCAACAGGAAUGAGUGCAAGAUAGAUAGUUCAACAAAAAUCCUGUACAGCAGCCUAUCUUUUCCCCAUGAACUUUGGACAUCUCCUAAUGAGGCUAUUUACUUGUGCCCCUCAAGAAAACAAAAUAAUUAAACAUACUUGGGCACAUCAAUUUUUAUAAUUGAAAAAAAGGCUGUAUUAAAAUUCAGGUCUAAUUUCUGUCAUCUCUAGGGGUAGAGGAAGUUGAGAAAAUUAGUAUGUCUUACUUAAAUUUCCACCUUAUAAGGAAAUUAGUGAUGUCUGGCCAUUUUCUGGAAUGCGUAUAUUCUUAAGGGAUAUUUCUAUUAAGGUUAUGAGAAUCAAUGAUCCGUGUCCCUUUACACAGUUCUAUCUAAUCUCUAUCUAACUCUCCUCAGUUCUAUCUUCCUUAGUUCUAUCUAACUUUCCUCAGUUCCCCUACUUAAUGCUGGAACUAAAAACACAUAUUAUAUUUCCUUUUCUUUGCUAGAGCUAGACCCCAUACAGACUACAAAUCUCUCCUCCCCCGCCUGUAUCCUGUAUGGCAGUAAAAGAUAUCGCAUGAUGUAUUACAGAGGGUACAUUUUAAAGACAUUAAACAUUAUUCAAUCAUGUGCAGUUAUUUAAUGAGAAAAUCUAUUUUACAUUACGCAGAUCUCUAGAGGAUAUAGCAUAACUGUGAUGAAUAAAGAAAGGU
rnacentral:lncRNA from 1 species